CCUACGGGUGACAGCAGUGGGGAAUAUUGCACAAUGGGGGAAACCCUGAUGCAGCGACGCCGCGUGAGUGAAGAAGUAUUUCGGUAUGUAAAGCUCUGUCAACAGGGAAGAAAAUGACGGUACCUGACCAAGAAGCCCCGGCUAACUACGUUCAAGCAGCCGCGGUACUACGUAGGGGGCAAGCGUUAUCCGGAUGUACUGGGCGUAAAGGGAGCGUAGACGGUAGGGCAAGUCUGGAGUGAAAGGCGGGGGCUCAACCCCCGGAGUGCUGUGGAAACUGCCAGGCUGGAGUACAGGAGAGGGAAGUGGAAUUCCUAGUGUAGCGGUGAAAUGCUUAGAUAUUAGGAGGAACACCAGUGGCGAAGGCGGCUUACUGGACUGUAACUGACGUUGAGGCUCGAAAGCGUGGGGAGCAAACAGGAUUAGAUACCCCAGUAGUC
rnacentral:rRNA from 1 species